rnacentral:rRNA from 1 species
ACCUACGGGGCGCAGCAGUAGGGAAUUGUUCGCAAUGGGCGCAAGCCUGACGACGCAACGCCGCGUGGAGGAUGAAGAUCUUCGGGUCGUAAACUCCUUUCGAUCGAGACGAAUGGCUCUGAGGUGAACAACCUCGGAGAAUGACGGUACCGAGAGAAGAAGCCCCGGCUAACUCCGUGCCAGCAGCCGCGGUAAUACGGGGGGGGCAAGCGUUGUUCGGAAUUACUGGGCGUAAAGGGCUCGUAGGCGGCCAACUAAGUCAGACGUGAAAUCCCUCGGCUUAACCGGGGAACUGCGUCUGAUACUGGAUGGCUUGAGUGUGGGAGAGGGAUGCGGAAUUCCAGGUGUAGCGGUGAAAUGCGUAGAUAUCUGGAGGAACACCGGUGGCGAAGGCGGCAUCCUGGACCAUUACUGACGCUGAGGAGCGAAAGCCAGGGGAGCAAACGGGAUUAGAUACCCCGGU